AUCCAACUGACGAGUCCCAAAAAUAGGACGAAACGCGCGUUCUGGAU
rnacentral:hammerhead_ribozyme from 1 species